rnacentral:lncRNA from 1 species
GAAGAAACAACUAAACAGACAGUUUUAUUUUAAAGUCCUGGGCACUAUAUAUCAUUUCAACAUAAAUUAUGCAUUUCAAAUAUAUCAAAAUUUGAGGAGGUAUGAGAAGAAAAUUCAAUUUUUGGAUUAGAAAAAGCGCAAUAACUCCGUGCUUAUCCAAGAAAUAGAAGUCAAUAUGGUGUCAACAAAAUUCUACACUCAAUAUACAAAAACCUUUUUAAAGUCCUUGAUUCAGUUAUUUUUGAUUUUUUGUAACAUACCUAUAUAUAUGUAUAUAUUUAAAAUAAAUCUAGACCUUUGAA